rnacentral:rRNA from 1 species
AUUGAACGCUGGCGGCAUGCCUUACACAUGCAAGUCGAACAGUAACGCGGGGCAACCUGGCGACGAGUGGCGAACGGGUGAGUAAUGCAUCGGAACGUGCCCAGUAGUGGGGGAUAGCCCGGCGAAAGCCGGAUUAAUACCGCAUACGACCUACGGGUGAAAGGGGGGGAUCGCAAGACCUCUCGCUAUUGGAGCGGCCGAUGUCAGAUUAGGUAGUUGGUGGGGUAAAAGCCCACCAAGCCAACCAUCUGUAGCUGGUCUGAGAGGACGACCAGCAAAACUGGGACUGAGACACGGCCCAGACGCCUACGGGAGGCAGCAGUGGGGAAUUUUGGACAAUGGGCGCAAGCCUGAUCCAGCCAUGCCGCGUGCGGGAAGAAGGCCUUCGGGUUGUAAACCGCUUUUGUCAGGGAAGAAACGCUCUGGGCUAAUACCCCGGGGUAAUGACGGUACCUGAAGAAUAAGCACCGGCUAACUACGUGCCAGCCGCCGCAGUAAAAC